AGUGACUGCCAAGACACACCAGGCAUCUCAAGGAGAUGCACGGUUUGGCUUAACACCUCCUCUCCUCUAAAGGCGCUGCUGUAUUCAGGACAUAUUUUGACUGCUGUUUCUGCUGAAAAGCUGCAUUUUUGUAGUUUGUCUGAUUGACCACUAGGUGUCCUGCAUUUCCCACUUAUUCACUUUAUGUGUGAGCACAUAGGAAUAGGAUUAGACUACAGUAUUCAUAUUCAGUUCUUUUUCUGUAUUCACAAUUUGUAAGAGGGCUUUAUUUCUCCAAUUGAUGCAUUAAAAUCCCUUGUUAUGCAUAAUUAGUAAUGUUGGAGGCAAUUAAGAUCACAAGCUAACGUUUGUGUUAGCAGUGAUGGUGAACAUCAGGUACUGCGUGUUAUCUUAGGACAAAUGAACAGUGGCGGCUUGUAUAUGUAAUAUGGAGGCCUGAGAGAAUUUAAAGCUGCCUUGAAUGUGAUAUGCAUUGUGAGCUUUCUGGCCAGCUUGCUCAGCACUUGCUGGAGUUAUUUUUGUCUCUAGAGGAAGGCAUGUUAUGCAAGAUGUUUGUUCCUCAGACUGUCUGUAGCCGGCUCUGUUUUCAACCUACCCAAAUUUUAGUUUACUUGGAUGUAAACACUGCCAGCCAUUCCACAGGAUCUUGCUACUUCGGCUGUCCUGCAGCCCCAAAACAGCUGUAGGCGACCUGUGGACAUGGAAGGUGAAAGGAAACUCCAAGGGCUGGAGGUGUGGCUGCUUGUAGGUCCAGCAGUGUGGUCAUUCUGUCCAGGCUCCUCCCUCCUUUCUUCAUGGACCAAAGUCAACAGCGGGCCAAUCCCUGGAUGCGUGCUAAUGGAUUAGCAUUAGUAGUCUGAUAAAUGAACUAUUUAUGCUUUUUAUUUGGAUUUUAAGAUGCUUUACUACUGUACUGUGAGGUAUUCAUAAUGUUUGUGUGGAACUGUGGUAAUACAAUUCUGUUAUUUUUAUUACAUAGAUAUUAACCUGACUUUUCUCUAUGCUUCCUAGGAUUGGCUCCAGGCAAAUGCCACUAGAGAGCUGUUAUGUCUAUGUAAGGGUCAAUAUCCCAACAUUUUUACUAAGGGUGUAUAGAUAUAUUGUGAUGAAUCGUUUAGUGUAGCGAUUCUGUUGCGUCGAUCUGUAACUAGCAUUAGUGGUCUGCAAAUAAUUUUGAGGAAUGUAGAGCGCUGAGUGUGUAGGGUGGGGGCAAGGCAGGGUUCAAAGUUUUAAAGAGCUGGGAAAACUUGUUUUUGUGAAGCCUGGGCUUGCUCAAACCUAAUUUAGGCAAUGGGGGUUUGCUUUUGGGAAUUCAUAGCAUUGUACUUGACCAAGUUUCCCUCUUUCUUUAGGUUUUUCUGAGGCAUUAAUGGAGCUAAGCCUUUGAUGGAUAGCCAGUGUUCAAUGGGGCAGGGCUUUUCAGAUAUGAGGCUGUUUGGGUAAAUGCAUUUGGAGGAUAAUGCACAGUAACUCAAAUGUUCAUGUUCAACUGAAGCAUGCAUUGCAGAUCCUUAGAGGUGGCCCCUUGCCUAACAUUUGGUCUGCUGGGACUUUUGGUAUGCAUGUCUUUAUUUAAUUUCUUCUAUAACUUUCAGAGACCAUAACUUUCCCCUGACCACUUGUCCCAGUGUUAUUAGGCUUGGACCACAUUAGUUAAGUUAGUCUUAGACAGAGGGAUUGAUAUUACUCAAGGUAAAAAAUGCAGCCAUGCAUAGUUUGCUUUACUAUAAACUAAAUAUGAUUGUUUAUCCUG